rnacentral:rRNA from 1 species
GAGUUUGAUCAUGGCUCAGGACGAACGCUGGCGGCGUGCCUCAUACAUGCAAGUCGAGCGGAUGCAGGAAUGCAUUAGCGGCGGACGGGUGAGUAACACGUGGGCAACCUGGCCUUAAGAGGGGGAUAACGUUCCGAAAGGGACGCUAAUACCGCGUAAAUCAGCGAAAUCGCAUGAUUUUGUUGGAAAAGGAGAAAUCCGCUUAAGGAUGGGCCCGCGGCCUAUUAGCUAGUUGGUAGGGUAACGGCCUACCAAGGCGACGAUAGGUAGCCGACCUGAGAGGAUGAUCAGCCACACUGGCACUGGAACACGGGCCAGGCUCCUACGGGAGGCAGCAGUGAGGAAUUUUGCGCAAUGGGAGCAAUCCUGACGCAGCAACGCCGCGCGGGUGAAGAAGGCCUUCGGGUCGUAAAGCCCUGUCAGGUGGGAAGAAGGGUCCUAUCAGGAAAGGGGUGGGAUUUGACGGUACCACCAGAGGAAGCACCGGCUAACUCCGUGCCAGCAGCCGCGGUAAUACGGAGGGUGCGAGCGUUAUUCGGAAUUACUGGGCGUAAAGCGCGUGUAGGCGGGGGAGCAAGUCUGAUGUGAAAGCCCCGGGCUUAACCCGGGAAGUGCAUUGGAAACUGUUUUUCUUGAGUACUGGAGAGGAAGGGGGAAUUCCCGGUGUAGAGGUGAAAUUCGUAGAGAUCGGGAGGAAUACCAGUGGCGAAGGCGCCCUUCUGGACGGUUACUGACGCUGAGACGCGAAAGCGCGGGGAGCAAACAGGAUUAGAUACCCUGGUAGUCCACGCUGUAAACGAUGAGCACUAGGUGUAGCGGGUACUCAUUCCUGCUGUGCCGCAGCUAACGCGUUAAGUGCUCCGCCUGGGGACUACGGUCGCAAGACUAAACUCAAAGGAAUUGAC